UCCUCACUCUGGCGGCGUGCUUAACACAUGCAAGUCGAACGGAACGUCCCUGCUUUUUUGGGGUGCUCGAGUUGCGACCGGGUGAGUAACCCGUGAGUAACCUGCCCUUGACUUUGGGAUAACUUCAUGAAACUUGGUCUAAUACCGGAUAAGAUCUCCUGCUUCAUGGUGGGUGUUGGAUAGUUUCGGUGGUUGGGGAUGGACUCGCGGCUUAUCAGCUUGUUGGUGGGGUAGUGGCUUACCAAGUCUUUGACGGGUAGCCGGCCUGAGAGGGUGACCGGACACAUUGCGACUGAGAUAAGGCACAGACUACUAUGGGAGGCAGCAGUGGAGAAUAUAGUAUAAUAGGCGGAAGCAUGAUGUAGUAACGCAGCGUGCGGGAUGACGGCAAUCGGGUUGUAUACCACUUUCGUCUGUGACGAAGCGAGAGUGACGGUAAUGGGUAAAGAAGCACCGGCUAACUACGUG
rnacentral:rRNA from 1 species